AUGAUUCACAUCCACUAAACUUGUCUCACAUAAUUGUCUGGAACGUUAAUCUAGGAAGUUGGAUUUAUGUGCGAAUAUUUUCAUCUUUUUUGUACUGCUAAUGGUAUGCCUAGUGCAUUUGCUUUGCCAUAGUGCUAUGAUUACUUGUUUUCACUCAUGUUUAGAGCUAAUGCUGUUACUUGCACUUCCAGCUAAAUAUAAUAUCUCCUAUGUAGUUGUCACCAGUGAACUCUGUAUAGAAGAUGGUCUAUUCUUUUUUCUUUUGACCUGGAGAUUGAUGGUCCAUUCUCCUUAUACUAGUGAUGUGUUUGAAUUCGGAAAGCUGGUCAGUUUGAUCUUUUUCGACCACUAGAGCUACUGGACAUUAAAUGCUUGAUGAUAUCCUUGUGAUAGUACAGCAGAUGGUUUUCACAAUUCAGAGUAGGCAUGAUCAAAAUAUUUAAGUUUCGUGUCUAGAGAAAGUUGAGCCAUUUUCUGAAUGCAUUACUUUCUAGGACAACAUUAUCUUGUAUCAUUGUGUAUUUGAUGCUUCAUGGCUGCGUGUAUAGCCUUGUCGUGUUUUUUUUGGGUCAGAGAUGGUCAAGCUCAAAGCUAGGCCAGCAGGCUGCAUCUUAUUAAUCUCAUUGCCUUUACUUUCUUCUAUUUUGAAUUAUAUUUAUGUAGGCUAAUAUGAUCCAUGUCCACUACAGCCGAAAUUGCGGUUGGAGCUGUUGCUACUGGCGUCUUCUGGCAACCAUGAGCUACUGCAUGAUUCAGACAUAUUUUUCAGGGUGCCCAUGCUGCAGGUGUGCCUCAAGGCCUGGCCCGCUGAAUACGAUCGAGGAUAGAAUCGGCUGGCGGCGAGCAUGGCCCUUGGGUCCCUUUCUGGUUCUUGUCGGCUCCUGGAGACACGCAAUAGUUGUCCAGCUUGGGGAAGAAGUGAUGGGGGCUUCAGGUGCAUGUUUUCGGGUACCCAGGUGGUGCCCAGUCCACCUCAUACCAGUGUAACCCAAGUGUGGAUGGCGGCAUUAGAGAGAACCCAAUACAUUGACCUCCUAUUGUGAUGAGUGGCCAUCUUGCAUGCUCAUUUGGUA